UGGGCGGGUCAAGAUGAAGUCCUGUGAAGUGGAGCCGAGCACGGUAUCGCUCGACGUCAGAAACCUGAUGCAGAGGCGACCGAAGACACCGUGGGUCUCAUGCUGCCCGCUGAGGAGGAGACACCUGGAUUCUGACUCCAGAGGCCUGGAACUCUUUGACUCCCUGUAGGGCGGCGCAGGGGUCCAGGCACUCUCUGCAGCCCAGAACCAGAUGCAAGCAGCGCCUGGAGCAUCCUUCCCCCCCCCCCCCCCCACACCCCCCCCCCCCCCCGCCCCCCCCCCCCCCACCUGCAUCCAUCUUAGCACCCAAAUAUGUUCUUCAUAAAGUUCUCAUUAGAAAGAAACCUUUCUCCUGACCACCAGAUGUAUUCCUCCACCUGGAUGUCCUUAGGCAGAUCAGUCACACUCAUCUCUUCAGGACUGGACCCACCGUCUUCCUCAACAUGCGUAAAUAUGCUCCAGUGUUCCCAUGCUGGAAUUGCAACACUGCAUGCAGCUGCCCAAAUGGCAGUAAGAGCCUUGGUGCAGGGGCUUUCUUUUCCCUGCUUCCCAAGCACUGUUGAUUAUUUUUCUUAAAUAUAUUCACCCCUGCCCUCUAACGAACCCCCAACCCCCAGUCCUACUCCAAUAAGGCAAUGGCCUUAUUUCAAGCCUUCCUACCUUCUUUCUCUCUCCCUCUACACCAGCCUCCAAAACAGGUCCAGAAAGAUCUUUCUGUCCGCAAAUCAGAUAAUGUUGCUUUCGUCACCAGAAUUUGCCACUGGCUCCCCACUGGCUCUAGGACAUAGCCUUCCUAGAGGUCCCUGCUGGGCUGCUCUUAAUGUCUCUAGCUGUGCUCCAGCAACACUGACCUGGUCAUCAUGCUCUCUGCUGAGGACAUCCCUCCUCUCUCUGUCCCUCUAGCAAAUGCUUUCUCUUCCAUAAAGACUCAGCUCAGAUGUGCCCUCUGAGAGGCCCCGAGGAGAUGCUUGGCAUGCCUCUCCCACUGCCCUUCAGUCAUACCUUCAAUAUAGUGAUUAUCUUGUGGUGUUCAUUGUUUGUUUGCAAGUCUAACAGUAAACUCCUUCAGAGCAGAUUACCACCUCUGUUCCCAUUUAUAUCCCAAGUGUCUGAUGCAGUGCCUGGUACCUAGCUAAUGCUCAGGAGAUAUUGGCUGGGAUUAUCUUGAUCCUCAAAACCCUUGGUUGCUGUUCCCUUUUUAUCUGUUGCAGAUACAGCUUCCAUGUCAGGGUCGCAGAGGGGCUGUCCCAUGUCACAGAUCUCUGUCUCCCCCUUCUCUUUUCUCUUCUAUCACUUAGGUUUCUUUCCUCCAAUCUCCUCUUUGAGAGAAAACUCUCGUCUCUCAUGCCAUAUCUUGAAUUUUUCUUUGUUCUGUAUCCUCUUGAGACCCAGCCUGUCCUGUGAAAAUGGACUCAGACCCUCUGGCCAGGCCCCAGCUCUUGUGACAGGUCAGAAGUGGAACCUGGCACCAUCAUUAUGCACAUUUCCUGGCCUGGCUUUGCCAUCCUUGCUGGCUUCAUCUCAGCUAAUGGGCUUUUGUUUGUUGAUGCCAACUCUUGUGCUAUUUCCUUUUCUAGUCUUGGUUUCAAGUUCCUUCUUCAGACAUUUAGUUACCAGGAAGAAAAGGAGGGAGGGACAUAUUUCUGUGAAGAACUAAAUUAUUAUAAAAUCGUGGUGUCCUUCCUGUCAGUGGUGUGGCACCCACAGGAAGGCAGAUGAGGUGUUCCUCUGGCUCAUUCCUGUUUCCACCCUCACCCCCUGACCUUCUCUUGAGAGGUCAGUUUCCUCCUACAUGCCCUCCUGCCCAAGUUUUCACCAGCCUCUUGCUUUUUACCUCCCUCAGUUGGUGGCAAAUUUUCCAGUCCCCAAAUUGGAAAGCUUGACAAAGGCGAUUUUCUUAUUUGUGAGUUUAUUUGCUUGAUAAGCCUUAGGAAACCUUACAGCUGUAUUGCAUUUGAGUAUCUCUGUACCAAUUUUAUUGAAAAAGAAUAAAAUUACAUUAAUUGGAAUUUUUUUCUAGAAAAUAUGAUUGUGAGGUUGCCGAGGCAAGGCAAGCUAUUGCAGAAAAGUAAGAAGACUAGAAAAGGGAGGAAUGACAUACUCUAUCUUAGCUAGGUUUUCAGGAAGAGAUUUUACAAAGCUUGAUUCAACCAAAACUACUUUUGUAUUAGUCAAGCAUGUUGGUAUGUACAAUUCAUUAUUUAAAGAUAUUUUUCAAAUAAAUUAGAAAAAGAGAAGUGACAAGGGACAUGAGAGAGAAUUGCCUAAAUUGACUGUCAUUAACCAUAAAUAUCUGGAAAGUGAGGGCAGAAGCAGUGUUAUGGGUUGACUCAUGUGCUCCAAAAGGAUGUGUUGAAAUCCUAACCCCCAGUCCUAACGUUAUUUGGAAAUAGAGUCAUUGCAAGUGUAAUUAGUUAAGGUGAGGUCAUACAGGUGGGCCCUUAAUCCAGUGUGACUGUUGUCCUUGUAAGAAAGUGAUGUGAAGACACAGAGAGGAUGACAUGUCACAGCGUGUUGGAGGCGGAGAUUGGAGCCAUGCAGCUGCAAGCCAGCAACACCAAGACCUGCUAGCAACACCAGAAGCUGAGAGAAGGGCAUGGAACAGAGGCAGCAUGGUCCUGCUGACCCCUUGAUUCUGGACUUCUGCCCUCCAGAACUAGGAGAGAAUAAAUUUCUG